rnacentral:rRNA from 1 species
AGAGUUUGAUCCUGGCUCAGGAUGAACGCUAGCGGCAGGCCUAACACAUGCAAGUCGAGGGGCAUCACGAGGUAGCAAUACUUUGGUGGCGACCGGCGCACGGGUGCGUAACGCGUAUGUAACCUACCUAUAACAGGGGCAUAACACUGAGAAAUUGGUACUAAUUCCCCAUAAUAUUCGGAGAGGCAUCUCUCCGGGUUGAAAACUCCGGUGGUUAUAGAUGGACAUGCGUUGUAUUAGCUAGUUGGUGAGGUAACGGCUCACCAAGGCAACGAUACAUAGGGGGACUGAGAGGUUAACCCCCCACACUGGUACUGAGACACGGACCAGACUCCUACGGGAGGCAGCAGUGAGGAAUAUUGGUCAAUGGACGCAAGUCUGAACCAGCCAUGCCGCGUGCAGGAAGACGGCUCUAUGAGUUGUAAACUGCUUUUGUACGAGGGUAAACUCACCUACGUGUAGGUGACUGAAAGUAUCGUACGAAUAAGGAUCGGCUAACUCCGUGCCAGCAGCCGCGGUAAUACGGAGGAUUCAAGCGUUAUCCGGAUUUAUUGGGUUUAAAGGGUGCGUAGGCGGUUUGAUAAGUUAGAGGUGAAAUUUCGGGGCUCAACCCUGAACGUGCCUCUAAUACUGUUGAGCUAGAGAGUAGUUGCGGUAGGCGGAAUGUAUGGUGUAGCGGUGAAAUGCUUAGAGAUCAUACAGAACACCGAUUGCGAAGGCAGCUUACCAAACUAUAUCUGACGUUGAGGCACGAAAGCGUGGGGAGCAAACAGGAUUAGAUACCCUGGUAGUCCACGCAGUAAACGAUGAUAACUCGUUGUCGGCGAUACACAGUCGGUGACUAAGCGAAAGCGAUAAGUUAUCCACCUGGGGAGUACGUUCGCAAGAAUGAAACUCAAAGGAAUUGACGGGGGCCCGCACAAGCGGAGGAACAUGUG